rnacentral:rRNA from 1 species
UACGAAGGGGGGCUAGCGUUGCUCGGAAUCACUGGGCGUAAAGGGUGCGUAGGCGGGUUCUUAAGUCAGAGGUGAAAUCCUGGAGCUCAACUCCAGAACUGCCUUUGAUACUGAGAGUCUUGAGUUCGGGGAGAGGUGAGUGGAACUGCGAGUGUAGAGGUGAAAUUCGUAGAUAUUCGCAAGAACACCAGUGGCGAAGGCGGCUCACUGGCCCGAUACUGACGCUGAUGCACGAAAGCGUGGGGAGCAAACAGG